AUGGAGAUCUGGAAGAAGCAUUGAA
rnacentral:piRNA from 1 species